rnacentral:rRNA from 1 species
UACGGGGGGAGCAAGCGUUGUUCGGAUUUACUGGGCGUAAAGGGCGCGUAGGCGGCGUGACAAGUCACUUGUGAAAUCUCCGGGCUUAACUCGGAACGGUCAAGUGAUACUGUCGUGCUAGAGUACAGAAGGGAGCAACUGGAAUUCUCGGUGUAGCGGUGAAAUGCGUAGAUAUCGAGAGGAACACCUGCGGCGAAGGCGGGUUGCUGGGCUGAUACUGACGCUGAGGCGCGAAAGCUAGGGGGAGCGAACGGG